GUCACCAAGAGAUAAACAACAAAUUUCUAUGCUUGCAAGGCAAAUAAAUCCCGGAAAAGUACAAGAAUUUAUGAGGAGUUAUGAAGAUGCUACGAGCCGACCUCACGGGUAUUUGAUGUUGGAUUUAAAGCCAACAACAGAUGAUCAACAACGACUCAAGACAAACGUACUUCCCGGCGAGAUUGCAAAGUUUAUACAAAAACAGUCGUAUCGUCAACCACCACUUGUAAAUGCCAUGUAUGAUGCCGAGCAGCGAAUGAAAGAAAUCAUGGAUGCACCACAGCUUAGCGCAGUGAAAAAAGCAAAUUAUACUCUGAUCAACUAAAUCGGUUUCUCACAUUCAAAAAUAAGAUGGAUGUCCCAGCUCAAGCUCCUGUUCAGACAACUCCACUAGUGCCUGCAGAGAUACCACAACCCAAUGAAUUUGUUGAGAUAGCACCACCAGUGCCUGCUACUCCUAAACCUAAUUUCCUUACACCACCACCAACAGAAG
rnacentral:lncRNA from 1 species